ensembl:snRNA U6 U6 spliceosomal RNA
GGGCUCACUUCAGUAGCACACAUGGUAAAACUGGAACAAUACAGAGAAGAUUCACACGGCCACCGUGCAAGGAAAACAUGUGAGUUCGUGAAGUGUUCUGUAUUUUC